AGUGAACGCUGGCGGUAGGCCUAACACAUGCAAGUCGAACGGCAGCACAGUAAGAGCUUGCUCUUACGGGUGGCGAGUGGCGGACGGGUGAGGAAUAUAUCGGAAUCUACUUUUUCGUGGGGGAUAACGUAGGGAAACUUACGCUAAUACCGCAUACGACAUACGGGUGAAAGCAGGGGAUCUUCGGACCUUGCGCGAUUGAAUGAGCCGAUGUCGGAUUAGCUAGUUGGCGGGGUAAAGGCCCACCAAGGCGACGAUCCGUAGCUGGUCUGAGAGAAUGAUCGGCCACACUGGAACUGGAACACGGUCCAGACUCCUACGGGAGGCAGCAGUGGGGAAUAUUGGACAGUGGGCGCGAGCCUGGUCCAGCCAUACCGCGUGGGUGAAGAAGGCCUUCGGGUUGUAAAGCCCUUUUGUUGGGAAAGAAAAGCAGCAGGUUGAUACCCCGCUGUUCUGACGGUACCCAGAGAAUAAGCACCGGCUAACUUCGUG
rnacentral:rRNA from 1 species